GCCGCUCACAUGAUAGGCACGUGAUGUUUUUUAAAAACAAUAGGAACCGGCUGUUUUGGGUAACAGGUUAAAAGAAGGAAAACAAAACCACGCGCUCGUUCUUCAACUUGCUCUGAACUGUCGCUCGUCCUACUCCUCUGUAUUGUGGAGCUGGAUAGUCUCGACGGCGCAAACCGGUGGCAGAGGACGGGUCGGACUCGCUUGAAUCGUCUCAGAGCUGCAUCGGCCUUUCGGACCUGCGAUCGUUGUGUCGUCGUGUGAAGAUGCGUUAGAGUUGUUGGGUGGUGCUGCGUUCACGGCAGCAGCGGCGGCGGCGCUGAUAUUGUUGGGAAACGUCAUCGUCGUGGAGGCUUCGACUUCGCCUUCGGCGUUCGUACAAAACGUCAUCUACUCAACAAGAUUGCCAUCUUCUCCAAUUCCUAUUGCCCCUCCUUGCAGUGCUUGUAGCAAUUGUUGGUGUGGGUGCUUUUCUGUGGUGGGCAAGGCAGGAUAUGGUUCAAGACAGUGUAAGGCUACUUCUAUUUUUUCUCUUGCUCACUUCUUAAAGCUCAUAGUUUUCUUCAACUGUGGUAUCAAACAUCUAUUGUUGCCUAGUUAAAACACAACCCAAGUUGUUGAGUGCCUUAAGUUCCAUGCUCUCAAUUUAAUUUCCAUGUUGGCACCUACAAGUGACUGGUAAAACCUUUUUAAUUAUUUAUGUCAGGUUCAAUUAUUUUUUUAAAAAA